rnacentral:rRNA from 1 species
GACGAACGCUGGCGGCGUGCUUAACACAUGCAAGUCGAACGGAAAGGCCCUGCUUUUGUGGGGUGCUCGAGUGGCGAACGGGUGAGUAACACGUGAGUCACCUGCCCUUGACUUUGGGAUAACUUCAGGAAACUGGGGCUAAUACCGGAUAGGAGCUCCUGCUGCAUGGUGGGGGUUGGAAAGUUUCGUCGGAUGGGGAUCGACUCGCGGCUUAUCAGCUUGUUGGUGGGGUAGUGGCUUACCAAGGCUUUGACGGGUAGCCGGACUGAGAGGGUGAUCGGUCACCCGAGAACUGAGACACGGACAAGAGUACUACGGGACGCAGCAGUGGGGUAUAUUGGACAAUGGGCGAAAGCCUGAUCCAAUCAGGGCGCGUGUGAGACGACGGUCUUCGGAUUGUAAAGAACUUUAAGUUGGGAGAAAGCGCAGUAAGUUAAUACCUUGCUGGUGUGACGGUAAUGACAGAAGAAGCACCGGCUAACUUCGUG